GGCCAGCUCUCAAUGUUGCAAGAAAAAAUAGACCAUUUGGAGCGUUUGCUAGCUGAGAAUAAUGAGAUCAUCUCAAAUAUUAGAGACUCAGUCAUCAAUUUGAGUGAGUCUGUGGAGGAUGGUCCGAAAAGUUCACAAAGCAAUUUCAGCCAAGGUGCUGGCUCACAUCUUCUGCCCUCACAAUUAUCCCUCUCAGUUGACACUGCAGACUGUCUGUUUGCUUCACAAAGUGGAAGUCACAAUUCAGAUGUGCAGAUGUUGGAUGUUUACAGUCUAAUUUCUUUUGACAAUCCAGAUGGUGGAGUUUGGAAGCAAGGAUUUGACAUUACUUAUGAAUCUAAUGAAUGGGACACUGAACCCCUUCAAGUCUUUGUGGUGCCUCAUUCCCAUAACGACCCAGGUUGGUUGAAGACUUUCAAUGACUACUUUAGAGACAAGACUCAGUAUAUUUUUAAUAACAUGGUCCUAAAGCUGAAAGAAGACUCACGGAGGAAGUUUAUUUGGUCUGAGAUCUCUUACCUUUCAAAGUGGUGGGAUAUUAUAGAUAUUCAGAAGAAGGAUGCUGUUAAAAGUUUAAUAGAAAAUGGUCAGCUUGAAAUUGUGACAGGUGGCUGGGUUAUGCCUGAUGAAGCUACUCCACAUUAUUUUGCCUUAAUUGAUCAACUAAUUGAAGGACAUCAGUGGCUGGAAAAUAAUAUAGGAGUGAAACCUCGGUCCGGCUGGGCUAUUGAUCCCUUUGGACACUCACCAACAAUGGCUUAUCUUCUAAACCGUGCUGGACUUUCUCACAUGCUUAUCCAGAGAGUUCAUUAUGCAGUUAAAAAACACUUUGCACUGCAUAAAACAUUGGAGUUUUUUUGGAGACAGAAUUGGGAUCUGGGAUCUGUCACAGAUAUUUUAUGCCACAUGAUGCCCUUCUACAGCUAUGACAUCCCUCACACUUGUGGACCUGAUCCUAAAAUAUGCUGCCAGUUUGAUUUUAAACGUCUUCCUGGAGGCAGAUUUGGUUGUCCCUGGGGAGUCCCCCCAGAAACAAUACAUCCUGGAAAUGUCCAAAGCAGGGCUCGGAUGCUACUAGAUCAGUACCGAAAGAAGUCAAAGCUUUUUCGUACCAAAGUUCUCCUGGCUCCACUAGGAGAUGAUUUCCGCUACUGUGAAUACACGGAAUGGGAUUUACAGUUUAAGAAUUAUCAGCAGCUUUUUGAUUAUAUGAAUUCUCAGUCCAAGUUUAAAGUUAAG
rnacentral:circRNA from 1 species